rnacentral:ncRNA from 1 species
GAAAGUAUCAACGUGUAUUUUCUCGACCGAGAGGUCCAGGUAAGCCGCUGAAACGCUUUCGUGCUUGAGAUUGUAAAUUGAAACUUUUCACAUGAAC